rnacentral:lncRNA from 1 species
UAAAAUAUUAGCUCAAUUGCUAUCAGAUCCGCCCGAAAAUCCUUUCUUUUACCCUAUCCAAAGCCCAUGCCCACUCGCCAUUGUAUAUUGACCUAAUUCCCCAUUCUCAAAGAAGAGAUAAGAACAGAUCCCCCUUUACAAAACCCUAGCCGUCAACCCCAUCCCCAAUUCCCAUUGAAACGAGACCCCUCCCUUUAACAACCAAAAACCAAGUUGCCUGCCUCCCACUCGUCGCUCUCUCACAUGCACCUCACGCACACACACACUCAAUCGCACACGCCUGAGCUUGCUAAAAAAAACUUGCAACAAAAAGAUCCGAGCUCUAUGAAACUUCAAACAAAGAGAAAAAAAUCAUUAAAAAAAAAAGAUUAAGAGGAUGUUCAAAAUUUUUGCUACAUGGCUUGAUCGUUUUUGGGUUUCUAAAGCUGUUAGAGUUGAAGAGCUGCCGUACUUCUGCUGUUUUCAUGUUGCUUUGCUGAUUUCCAGCUUGUCCAUUUGGCCUUUAUUGGAUUUUGCCUUCCUCAAAAGUCAAUUCUAGCCCAACUAGGUAUGCUCUCUUACGUCUGAAUUUUUCCAGAUCUGGUUUAAUAUAAAAUCAUGACUACUUCACUUUAUUUGUUAUUGCUAUUUAGAUUUGACUGCCUUGAGUUGGUUUCAGUGAGAAUAAAAUGCUAGCCAAUUUAUUGAAAAAAUGCGAUUUGCUGUGACUCAAUUCAUUUGUCAUUAAAUAUUGAUUUAGACUGAUAUCUCUUUGAUUUACACUAGAUCUGUUAAAAUCAGGUGAUUUGUUUUAAAAGGGGAGUUCAUAUUAAAGGAUCAAUAUCUGCAGCAGUAGCAGAAGCAGAAUGAGUAGAAUUUGAAAGUUAGGGCUUAGUUAUUACUGUAAAAUGGUUAUACCGGUAAUGUCUAGAGAUGACUAUCUUUGUAACAGGAUAUAAGUGUAAAGAAAAUAGAUUGUUUCCAAUCUAGGUUCGUCCCAGUAACCUUGGGGAAUGGAUGUAAGGUUAAAUAUUAGUGCUUAGUUACGCAACAAUUUAAUUCAAAAUAAUCAAUUCCAUUUUAUAUAUAUCCCAAUGCCUAUCCAUAAUUUAUGACUUCAUUAACGUUAAAGCAAUUUAAGGAAACAAUCUUUGGAUAUUCGCAGCAUGCAGCAGCCACGUCUUAAUCUAUUAUCGUGAUUGUGUACACGUUCACGUGACAUAAUUAUGAUUUUUCAAAAUAAAUCAAAGUACGCGUUCGUGCGAAUUUAGAAAAAUAAUCUUAAUAAUAAUAAAGUGUUAUUAAUUGUGUACACGUAUGUGUGACAUGAUUCUGAACACACCAAAUAAAAAGAGUACACAUAAACGUGACUUGUUUCAAGAUAAUUCCAUAAUCACAAAUAAUCAAGCAAUUAAAAGCGGUAAAAGGCAAAUGUACAUAAGUUUUAAAUAUAAGUAAUUAAUCAAAUUAAUUAAGCCAGGUAUGAUAAAAGAGACCGUGCUAAAUUCACGAAAUCCGAAAAUGCCUAACACCUUCUUCCGGGUUAACAGAAUUCCUUACCCGGUCUUUUAAUUUUCGCAGACUUUAAAACAGAGUCAUUUUCCUCGAUUUGGAAUUUUAAAAUAAACCAGUGAUUUGGG